UACAGAGGGGGCAAGCGUUAUUCGGAAUUAUUGGGCGUAAAGGGCGCGUAGGCGGCUUGGCAAGUGGAUGGUGAAAUCCCUCGGCUUAACCGAGGAACUGCCAUCCAGACUGCUUUGCUUGAGGCCGGGAGAGGUGAGUGGAAUUCCCAGUGUAGCGGUGAAAUUCGUAGAUAUUCGGAAGAACACCAGUGGCGAAGGCGACUUACUGGACGAUUGUUGACGCUGAGGUGCGAAAGCGUGGGGAGCAAACAGG
rnacentral:rRNA from 1 species